ACUCCCGUGUCGGAGAUGGGCAGCAGUUGUGAAGUAGGGUUAGGGUUAUAAGUAAAAUAAAUAGGUGUUAGCUUUAAAGCUAACACUGGCUACACAAACUGGGAAAAUAACUUGGAGUGAGGUGAAGGAAAAUGAAAGAAUGUUCGAAGAAUUUAACACGGCCGUGACGGCUUUAUUUUAUGAGACAGGAAGUUUUAUUUUGGCGACCGGAAGUGCUUGUCCAAGCUGGUAGCGUCAUACGUCAGCUGACAGCAGCCAGUGACACCUGUCCGAGUGACACCUGUCCGACUGACGCCGUCGCCGGGGACGUCUCCCACCUCUUUCUCCCGCCUUAGGGCUCAGAAGGCGGACCUCGGAGCCAGCCAGCCGCGGCAUGGCGGCCGACAUGGAGCCGCGAGCGCAGGUCCGGAAGCCAUGUUUGCUGAGCAAGAUCGAGGCUUUCCAGGAUGUGGUGAGCGCGGCGGUCAUCAUCCCCAAAGAAGAUGGCGUCAUCAGCGUCUCUGAGGACAGGACCAUCCGUGUUUGGCUGAAGCGGGACAGCGGCCAGUACUGGCCCAGUAUCUACCACACCAUGCCAUCCGCGUGCUCCUGCAUGACCUUUAACCCUGAGACCAGGAGGCUGCUGGUGGGCACGGAGACUGGCAGCGUGUGUGAGUUUGUCCUGGCAGAGGACUACAACAAGAUGGCGGCCACACACACCUACCAGGCCCACCAGGGUAGAGUGACGGUGGUGCUGUUGGUGCUGGAGAUGGAGUGGCUCCUCAGUGCAGCUCAAGACAAGAAACUCACCUGGCACUGUUCUGAGAGCAGCCAGCACCUGGGGGAAUACCACACUGCAUCAUGGGUAACUGCUAUACAGUUUGAUGUGGAGACCAGACACGCCUUUGUGGGCGACCAUUCAGGUCAGGUGACCAUCUUGAAGCUGGAUCAGGACACCUGCAGCCUGGUCACCACCUUUAAGGGUCACACAGGUCAUGUGACAGCACUGUGCUGGGACCCCUCCCAGAGAGUGUUGUUCUCAGGCAGCUCAGACAAGUCCAUCAUCAUGUGGGACAUCGGGGGACACAAAGGCACCGCCAUCGAGCUGCAGGGACACAGUGACAGGGUGCAGGGUUUGUGUUACGCCUCACACACUCGCCAGUUGAUGUCGUGCAGUGCAGAUGGAGCCAUGGUCAUCUGGAACAUGGACGUCAGCAGACAGGAGACUCCAGAGUGGCAGGACAGUGACUCAUGUCAGAAGUGUGAGCAGCCAUUCUUCUGGAACUUCAAGCAGAUGUGGGACUGCAAGAAGAUUGGUUUACGACAGCACCAUUGCAGGAAGUGCGGGCAGGCGCUGUGCAACAGGUGUUCCUCCAAGCGCUCCACCAUCCCGCUCAUGGGCUUUGAGUUCCAGCCGCGCUCCCACCGCCACAUUCCACAGCAGCAAGCAUGGCGUGCUGCACAUGCACUACGAGCCCACUGGAGGAUGUCUGCUCACCUGUGGCGACGACAAGAUCAUCAAGCUGUGGGACAUGACCCCCGUCGUGUCGUGAGCUCAGACCCGCCCCAUCACAAGCUCCUCCCACACGCCGCCAAGUGUCCAGCUGGACAGGGGGUGGAGCCACAGGGAUAGCGUGGACGGACUGUGAGUGAAACGUGUGUGUGUGUGUGUGUGUGUGUGUGUGUGUGUGUGUGUGUGUGAGUUUCAUGGUUAGCACAUGAGAGGACUUGGUUAAAGUUGUCCUGGUUAAACUUGCCUUGGUUAAACUUGCCUUGGUUAAACUUGCCUUGGUUAAAGUUGUCCUGGUUAAACUUGCCUUGGUUAAAGUUAUCCUGGUUAAACUUGCCUUGGUUAAAGUUA